rnacentral:rRNA from 1 species
GGGUAGUGAUAUGGUUGUGUGAAAGAUUAAGGGAUGGAUGUGUGAGUAGAAGGGGGAAUAAGGUGAAAGGGGGAAUGGGUGAUUAAAUGAGUUAUGGUUGGUUGGAUGUUAGGGAGAGUUAGAUGGAUAAGUGUGGUAAUUGUAGAGGUAAUAGAUGAAGGUGGUGGGGGGAGGAGUGAUGGAAGGGGGGGUUUUAUUAGAAGAAAAGGAAUGGGUGGGGUGGUGGGUGGGUUGGGUUGGUGAGUGUGAAUAAGUUUGGGGUGAUGGGAGGGUGGGAGGAGGGGGGAGGGAUGUUUGAAAUGUGUGGGUUAUGAAGUUUGGAUGGUAGGUUGUGGGGGUAGGAUGGUUGUAAGGGGUGAGGGGGAAUGAGGGUUGGAUUGGGGAGAGGGAGGGUGAGAAAGGGGUAGGAGAUGGAAGGAAGGGAGGAGGGGGGGAAAUUAGGGAGUGGGGGGAGGGGGAGGUAGUGAGGAAAAAUAAGGAUACGGGAGUGAUGGGAGGGGGGGUAAUGGGAAUGAGAAGAGUUUAAAUGGUUUAAGGAGGAUGUAUUGGAGGGGAAGUGUGGUGGGAGGAGGGGGGGUAAUUGGAGGUGGAAUAGGGUAUAU